rnacentral:lncRNA from 1 species
GACCACGUUUUUCAAGGGGCUGAUGUUCUGCGUUUCACUCAAGGUCACUUAGAAGCAUUGAGAGCUGCCAUCCUUGCCCAGUUUGCCACCUCCUUGGCCCUCGGGGAGGAGGCGAGCCUCUCAAGGGACCCAGUGGUUUGGUUGAAGUAAAUCCAAGUCACCAGAGGCCGGAUAUGACCCCAAAGGGAAGUUUCAUCAACUUUCAUUUCCAUUCACUCCUGGGCCACUGGCCUGCCGGGGAUACUGCUGAGCCGUCAGAAAUGAGUCAGGAAAACUUUGAAAAGUGUGGGUUUCCCCCGCAGAGCCCAGAACACCCCAGAGACAUCGCCAACACUAAGAUGGGCACAGGAGCAACCGUUCCAAGAUGGUACCUUUCUGGAAUCCACGUCCUGGGAGACAUUACACCUUCUGUCAAGAACACCUGAGGUGGCAACUUAGUCCCCGCUCUCCCAGCAUCCAGCCCAAAGUCACCAGGCCCUGGAGAUGAAGGAGGCAGAUAAAGAUGGCAAUGGAGUGAAGGGCGGAGCUGUGCAAGGGUUGCCCGGGGCAACAACGCCAGCACCCAGCAGUGAAGCAGGCCAGGUAGGGUUUCUGGAUUUAGGGUCUCUGGAGGGGCGUUGAGGGAAUGAUGCCUUAAGAUGAAAUCCAGUUUUCUUACCACUUUGGUUGCCUGGGGUGGCCAAGAAAAUUGGCUAUGUUUUACUGCCAUGGGCUAGGGGUUAAGGCGGUGGCAGGGAAGGAAAGUGGGGAUCCUGGCCUGGCUUAGAGGCUCCCCACAUGGGUGGACGGAAGCAACUGGCAGGAGAAGGGGAGCCAGAGAGCCGCCUUCUGCCUAUAAAUGCUUUUGGGGCUGAGAGAGCGUGGGUGUCCCCUUGCCAAGGAGACCAAUAUCCCUGCCAGCUGGAUCUGAUCUCUUAGGUCACGUUUCAGCUGCACAGAGGGCUCCAUGCAAUGUGUGCCAGAGUCAGAAACACCACAGGUGUUGUUCAGCCAAAUGCUUUCCCAUGCAAUAUAUGUC